UCUAUAAUAGCUUAACUAAAGCCUUUAACCGUUAACUAAAAAAAUACUAACACUAGUUUAUAGAG
rnacentral:tRNA from 1 species